UUCGAUAUCAUCAAGACACCUAUGGAUUUUGGAACAGUAUGCAGUAAUCUUGAAAAAGGCAACGUAUACAUGAAUUCUGAGGAUGUUUACAAGGAUGUCCAGUACAUCUGGAAUAACUGUUCCAAGUACAAUAAGAAAGGCGAUUAUAUCGUCGACCUGAUGAAGCGAGUCAAGAAAAAUUUCAUGAAGUACUGGGCUGCCGCCGGAUUGUAUACUGAGCAAUCUGCAGGUAUUGUUAAAAAAUUAAUCUUCUCUAGCAUUUUACUUUUUCUUCUCACGCAUUGUUAAAUUUGGUAGGUGUAGUUUUACGUUUCUGGUUCCCCUUAGGCAUAUAAAGUAGACAUUGUGAACACAUAAAACUUUUAACAAUACCUGCAGAUUGUUAACAAUGUACAGUACUGGCAUUGUUUCUGGUAGCUAUGCACUUUGGGCUGAGUAAUAUAGCUUACGGUUUAACUUAUAUGGUUUCUUCGAUUUACGAUCAGAGAAUGCUCAAGUAGAGGAUGGUGGAAAUGCAUCCUCCAAAGGUAGUCAAUCCAAGCAGAAGAGCCAGAAGCGCCAUGGGUAUAUGCCUUUGAAACUUCUUUUUUUUUUCCUUAAUGAUACGUGGGGACUCAUAAGCAUAGUUUGGUUUCAAUGUUUCAUCAGUCUUCCUAGGUUUUAUAGACAAGAGGUUAUCUUUUGCAAAGCUACUGUAACCUAGGUUUUGUCAAAUUGUAUUCUGUUUUCUGUAUAGAGCUUGUGUUGUCCUUUAUUACUGGGAUUGGGAUUUGUGAUGGGAUUCAGUUUCAUUUGAUAGUGUCAUUACUUUCGCUUUGCAGAAGGCAUCACAAGAGUGAUUGCAUGUGUGCGGUAUGUAUUUUGAAGAGACGUAAAAGAGAACGUCACAGUUCUCAAGGAAAUUCUGGAGCAGUAGAGGUUAGUAAUGUGUUUUGUUUAUCCAAAGAGAGCACACAGCCCGGGUGCUUGGCUUCCAUUGGCUGUAACUAAAUAUCAUUCUUUCUUGAAGGAAUCUUCACCUGUGAGAAGUCCGUCUGUGGAUAAUUCAUCUAUUAAUAUGCGUGAGGAGCAGGACAUGGAUGUUGAUGUCGACAACAAAACAAGACAAGGAAAAGCAGAAAUCGUGGAACUAGAUAGUCCAGUGGCAAAAAGACAAAGAGUUGGUGAAUAUAAAAAACAAAAUGUGGAGGGAGAGGAGACCCUUGAGGUGGAGACUGAAACUAAAACUAAACCUACUGUCGAGGAUAAGACUCAAUCGAUUGAUAGAUCGACAGAAGAGACUGGUGACGAGCCCGUGACUAGUGCUGCCGAGAAAUUGGCUGUUUUAGCUUCUGUUGAAGGCCCAAAAUCAACUCAGAAUGAAGAGGAAGACAAGGCAAAACGACUCCGGGAGCAGAAGGUACUCUCCGAGCUUUUAUUAUGAUGUUUUGAUUAAGCAGCAAGCACUACUGAGAGUAAUUGUAUUAUUGCAGGAGCUGCAGGAGUUAGAGCGUAAACAAUGGAGAGCUAAGAUGCAUGAGAAGUUCCAACUCAGAAACCCUCAGCUGCUAAAUCUUUGCGAGACUAUCUUUCCUAAAAGCAACAAUCAAAGUUCUGUCUGGAACGGACCUCACUCACUGUUUAAACGUCCAGAAGGCUCAAAUCGUACUAGUUCCUUGCACAAAGCAGUGGAAGCCUUGAUGAGAAGUAGUAGUUAAGGAUUCACAAUGUAACAUAAGUAUUUAGCUAUCGUUCUUCGCUUUGCCUGUUUAGAUAUGUUUGAUUGAUACAUCAAAUGUCAAACACCAUAAGAUUCUUUUCACUGAAAGCAGAAACAUCAAUUUGUUCAUGAAUUUUUAGACAAAAUGGAUUCGCUUUUACAUAAUGAUUUGACUGCCAUGAGACGAUAAGAAGGGAAUAAAACGUCAAUUAAGGCAUUGACUUAACUAUUCCACACAAUGUCAAAAAAUUGUCCAGUUGAUUAUUGGGUUAAGUUGUGUUUCCUUAAAAAAAACCUACAGAAUUACCAAAUGUGAUUAUGAUAUAUAUAGUAAUUAAUGAUUUCAAAUAAUGAAGAUUUGCUAAUAAUCUGUAUACUUUCUAUCAUUUUUGUUUAAUUUUUUAUUAUUAAAAUAAAUUACACAAUUACAUUGAUCAUAUAUUAAAAAUUUAUAUUUUUUUGUAUAUGUUGUAUUUUGAAUUUUUGAAAACGAGUACAAAUUACUAAAAUUGUUAAAAGUCUCACAUAAACUUGUGUGAUCAAUGUUUAAAUAUUUUCUAUAAUAAGAUACUAUGAUAAUAAAAUCAUAUAAAUAAAUAAUUUUAUUUUAGUAGGUGUUUAUGUUAAUAUAUAUAUACUUCAUAUCGUUUAAAUUUAAUUAUAUAUAAUAUACGAUAGAUAAGAUUGAUUGUUUUGAUCUAUUUAUCCUAAAAUGAUUGCGAAUAAACAAGCGUGGUCAUUUGAUUUAUAUGUGCAAGUCAAUUUAUUACAUGAUAGUAACUGAUGUCUUAGUUAUUUAAUAUAUAAUUAUUAUUUUACUAUUUCAUAAUAUGCAUAAAAAUAUAAAAUAAGUAAUAUAUAUAUAAAAUAUUUAUUCUUCACAAGACGUCGAUCUUAACCUAAGUAUGUAUCUCUUUAAUAAUUUUGAAUCUUAAACAUUUUUUAAAUCUGAGGCGAAAUAAAAUAAAAAAAUGAGAAUAAACUCAAAAAUCAAUAUUUAUAUCAAGCAAUAACCAAAAUAACACAAAAAGGAGAAAAAUAUCGAAGAUAAAUAGGAUUGACACGUGAACGUAAACUUCUCAUAAACAUAAUUAACUUUUAAAUUGUUAAAUCAUGAUAUAAAACCGAGCUGACAUAGUUUCACUGUAACCAAAUAGUAGGCAUGAGAUUCUUCGGCCUAAACGUUAGGUUUUUAUGCGAUAAAUAAUUUUUGACCUAAAAUAUUUUAAAAAAUAGGAUUAGUUCAUUAGUAGACAAAUUAUGUAAUUAACAAAAAAAAAAUUUUAAAUUUUUUUAAGGACCAAAAAUAUUAAUUCGAUCAAUAAUCUAAAUUUUAUUUUCAUACGAUAUUUUUAAAUAAUUUUCAUUUAAAUUUACUCUGCGCAAGACGCAUGUCUUAUCCUAGUACAAUACUACAACAUAUUUUGCCAAACCCUAGACCAAAGAAUAUCAUGACUCACUACUUUCACUCAUCUAUGUUGAAAAUAAUUCAAUUUUAUUAUAUUUUAAUUUAUAUCACUUAAAACUGUUUAUAAUUACAUGAUUUUAAUUUUUUGCUUAUCAAAAUAUUUUUUACAAAAUUUAUAAAUUAUUUUUAAGAUCCACUACACCAGACAACUUCCGUAACUUCCGUGGACGUCGUCCAGAAGACUCGGAAGACUUAGCAGGGAUAUAUUCGUAAAAAUGAGUUAUGUUUUUAUGUUUGGUCACAAGGGACUGUGUGUAAUUUCACAAGGUUUUUAGGUUACUUUUUGCAUUUGAUUCAAAUUUGGGUAUAUUUUUACAAUCAAAGUCAAAUUUUGAAUCAUAUUUGGCAAAUUCAUUUGAAAGGGCUGUAAUGUCAAAAAGUCCAUAGUUACCCAAAACAUUACUGGAAGGGUUGUAAUGUCAAAAAAUUCAUUAAAAUUUUGCAUAUUUGAGUUUUUGACGCUUGUUUUGUUUUGGAUUUGGCACAUAUGCAUUUUUUGCUUGGCCCAUAACAAACCCAUUAGCAAAAACGACGACGUAAGUGUUAAAUCUGCAGAGAAGGGUCUUAAAACUCUAAAAAAGCACCGAAUCGUCUGGGGUCUAAUAAGCGACGCUCGAAGAAUUACGAGUCGAAAGUCGAAAGCGCGGUCUCGUCGAGUUCUAUUAAAAGUUUGUUUGGUAAAAAUCUCUGUUUCCCUCCAACUUUUUGAAUCUCUCCCUCUUCCUCUUCCCCCGCAAGAUUCUCUGCUCUGCUGGUUUGCCCUAGAUCUAGUGUUUAGUGAGUGAUUCAAGAUUGUUUUGAUUCGAUUAGCCUAUAUAUGAUCGGAUCUCUUGAUUGCAAAUUGUUUGUCUUCUUUCGGAUAAUCUAAUCCAAUCAAGGUUUUUGCAGGAGUCUCUCGCUCGUAGCUGUGAUGAAGCGUAAGGGAGGACAUAAGAAAGGGAACAAGUCUAAAAAGUCCACCGAACCAGAGACUUUGAAUGAGUCUGUUCAAAACAGCGACUCUGAGCAAAGUUCGGGUGAGUGUGAGAAGAGUAAAACGGAGGUUGAUGCACCUGACAGUUCACCUAGUGUAGAUCCGGUUAAGUCUGUGGGGCGUGUUAAGGUUAAACUGAAGACCUCCUCCAAAGCACUUGAACCUGAUGUUCCCUUGACUACUCCUCAAAAAGAGGAUCCUGUUCCUCCUCGUUUGCCUGAGCGAAAACCAGUUCUCAACGUUUAUAGGAAGAUGAAAGGUAUUAAGAUCAAGUCCUGGAAGGCGGUUGAUGGGUCUAGCUCUGUUUCUGAGAAGCCCCUAGAUGCAGUUGAUAAGGAGACGAAGACGCCUGAUGAGACUUCUCAAGUCAAGAAGCUUGAACCUGAUAGUGCACCCGUUUCUUCUCAGAAGAAGACUGAUAACAAUAAGCAAGAACUGGAAGAUUCUCUUACGGUGUCGUGUCUACCUUGUUUGUUUGUUUCUUCUUCUUUUUAUGGUAAUGAACAAUUUUAACUAAACCUUAUUGGUCUUAGGUGGUCAAGAAGAUUAUGAAGAUGGAAGCUGCUGAUCCCUUUAAUGUUCCUGUCGACCCAGAAGCUCUUGGGAUUCCUGUAAGUGUGUGAUCCAUUAGCUUCAUCUUUAUUUUAUAUAUCCGAACAUAUCAACUUUGGCUUGUGAAAGCUCAUCCCCUUCAUAGGUAAAAUAGUUCUGUGUGUUUUCUUGUAAACAGACAAAAAUCAUUUUGAUCUCAACUUAAAAUUUCUUUACUACAUUUACUAGUCUUGUUAUUUAGCAUAGGGUAUGGGUUCAUCUUUAUGUGAAGGAAAUAAUACUUGUUUUAAAUCUUUUCUUUGCUUGUCAAGGGGUUUCAGAAUUGUUGUCUAACACGUUUAGCUGUUUUCGGGUUAUGUAAUUAGGACUAUUUCGAUAUCAUCAAGACACCUAUGGAUUUUGGAACAGUAUGCAGUAAUCUUGAAAAAGGCAACGUAUACAUGAAUUCUGAGGAUGUUUACAAGGAUGUCCAGUACAUCUGGAAUAACUGUUCCAAGUACAAUAAGAAAGGCGAUUAUAUCGUCGACCUGAUGAAGCGAGUCAAGAAAAAUUUCAUGAAGUACUGGGCUGCCGCCGGAUUGUAU
rnacentral:lncRNA from 1 species